rnacentral:rRNA from 1 species
GACGGAGGGUGCUAGCGUUGUUCGGAAUUACUGGGCGUAAAGGGCGCGUAGGCGGCCUGGUCAGUCGGGUGUGAAAGCCCGGGGCUCAACCCCGGAACGGCACCCGAGACGGUCAGGCUGGAGACCGGGAGAGGAGGGUGGAAUAGCCAGUGUAGAGGUGAAAUUCGUAGAUAUUGGCUGGAAAACCGGUGGCGAAAGAGGCUCUCUGGCCCGGUUCUGACGCUGAGGCGCGAAAGCGUGUGGAUCAAACAGG